rnacentral:lncRNA from 1 species
CUUUUGAGGAACGGGGCUUCCUUUGUGUGCCGGACUGGGAGGCCCGUUUGCACAAACAUCCUGCAAUAAACUUACCUCUUGUUUUUACAUCAGCUGGACUGGACAUUGAGUUUUUUGGGGGAAACUGUCCAAUUUGUGGAGGCUCCUCGCUCUGAGGGUCUUUCAAGCAGAACAGAGACCACACGGAGGGAUAGACCAGGCCGAAGCAAUGGAGAAGACUCCCUUGGUCAGGAAUCCUUCUUCAUUUGGGAUGGAGGGAGCAUCAUGAAGCCAGAAAUGUGAACUAAGGAAGACACGUGGUACACCUCUACUUCAGACAGUUAAACACAUUAACAGAAUUCCUAGGGAAACAUCCAAAAGGACAGGAACGAAAGGGUUGAACUUACGCAGCACAUGAGGCCUGUGGAACACAUUGAUGUGCUUAAUCGUCGUGAUCACCCCAGAAAGACCAUAUGACUGCUCGAGCCUCACGGGGAAGAAACAAGGAACCUUGAUCGAGAUUCUGGUACAUUGGAAUUCAUCAUGGAAUUGACACUAUCACUUGUGCUGUACGUGGACCGAAAUACCUGACUCUGACUUCAAUUCCACACGCCAUCUCAGCACAGCCACUUGUCAUGGAAGAGAGGAAGCCUCGAACCCCUUUGCUAGUAGCUGAGGGAUGUGUGGUGCACUGCCUGGUCAGUAGGGCACAUAGAAGGGGUAUCUUCUGGAAGAGUCUAUGACGUAGCAGCGAAAUCAAAAGUGAUGAGCCGACAUCCCCGGGAGAAUGCUCUGUGCACCAGUGGUCUUGCCAACAAGCACUGAAACGCAUUGCAUCCUCGUCUUCUGCAAAGCUUUAGAAUGCCCAUCUAAAACACCAGUUUUCGUUAACCUCAGACAUCCUUAACACAUUUCACCAAACAAGAACACCCCUCCUCAAGUAACAUCCAUUACCUUUGCACAGCCCCCAAGGGAAGGCAGAGCAUAUCUGAGGGAAAUGGUACUAGAAGAUUCCAGAAGCCCAAGCAGAAAUUCUGAACUAUUUCUUACCUCUGCUGUGCCUGGCGAUGCUUCUUACACUUUGCAAUGUGAAGCCAUUGUUUAAGCCGCACUGCCCUCUGAUCUUCACACAUGUAAGCAUGGAACAAGCAUUAACUGAAGGUACUUCUCCAUUCCCCUGCACCCUCCCAGGCGAGAAGGACCCUGCAAACACACAGCUCCUGGCUGAAAAGACUAUCUAAAAGGGAAGACAGACAUAUGAACACACAAGAGUAAAAAUCUUCUAUGAGGCAAAGUACACUUGUGGAGCUGGGGUGAGGUACAGGGAAGCCUCCCGUGAAGUGGGUUCUAAGAAGCAAUCAGAAGAGGAAACCCUUGGAGCUGUAAGGAAGCACCCCGCCCCCACCCCCGGCCACAUGGAGAAGUGCAUAUGGAGAGAGCUGUCCAGAAAACCCACUCUCCUAACGGUCACAGUCCAAUCCUCAGACACAUCUUCGAUAACUCAGUCCUAAUGAACCCAGAACGAGAAGAACCAAGGAGUCAGCCGGCCACCAGAACCCUGGCAGUACAACCCCUGCAAAAAUGGCCAGGCAGCCCCAGUUACUCAAAUGGCCUUCAUCAGGACCCAACCAUUGUGAACCAGAGACAAGCUCUCCUCUGCACUGUUCCAAUUCCUAGCCCAAAGAACUGCGGAUAUCAUAAGAUGGAGCUGUUGUUUGGUGCCACUCACACCUGGGGUGGUUUCUCACACAGCAGGAGACCGACAGAACCCUGGAGAAGCUUGGACAAUAAAUAAUCUAAUGGAAAUGAGUUGUUUAGUGAAUAACGGAAGAGCUACAGCUUGGGAAGAAAGGGUUCUGAGGUCCGAAGGUGGUGGUGGCCCCAACACAAUGCGACACCUUAAUGCCGCUGUACCCAACACUUUAAAACGACCGCUGUAAUACACUGUGUGUCACAGGCAUUUUACACAAUGGUUUUUUUUUUUUCAAUCC